UACGAAGGGGGCGAGCGUUGUUCGGAAUCACUGGGCGUAAAGGGCGCGCAGGCGGCUGCUUUGGUUGGGCGUGAAAGCCCCGGGCUUAACCUGGGAGGUGCGCUCGAGACGGAGCGGCUGGAGUUCGGCAGAGGAGGGUGGAAUUCCCAGUGUAGAGGUGAAAUUCGUAGAUAUUGGGAGGAACACCGGUGGCGAAGGCGGCUCUCUGGACCGAUACUGACGCUGAGGCGCGAAAGCGUGGGGAGCAAAC
rnacentral:rRNA from 1 species